rnacentral:rRNA from 1 species
GUCUAUUUUCAUACCACUCUGAAUGCGCCCAAUCUCGUCUCAUCUCAGGAGCUAAUCAGGGUAGGUCCUGGUUAGUGUUUGGAUGGGAGAAAGUGUCAUCGGGGGUCAGACA